UACAUGUGGGGCAAGCGUUGUUCGGAAUUAUCUGGGUACAGUAAAGGGUGCGUAGGCGGCUUGUUAAGUCAGUUGGAUGAAAGUUUUCCGGGCCCAACCGGAAAACGUUCGCCCGUUUGAAUACUGGCGAGCUUGAGUGCGUGAGGGAUAGGGGGAACGAGCAGUGUAGCGGUGGAAAUGACGUAGAUAUUGCUCGGAAGGCCAGAGCCGAAGGGGCCCCAUUGGUACGCAACUGACGCUGAGGCACGGAAAAGCGUGGGGGAGCAAACAGG
rnacentral:rRNA from 1 species